GAUGAACGCUGGCGGCGUGCCUAAUACAUGCAAGUCGAGCGAACGGACGAGAAGCUUGCUUCUCUGAUGUUAGCGGCGGACGGGUGAGUAACACGUGGAUAACCUACCUAUAAGACUGGGAUAACUUCGGGAAACCGUAGCUAAUACCGGAUAAUAUUUUGAACCGCAUGGUUCAAAAGUGAAAGACGGUCUUGCUGUCACUUAUAGAUGGAUCCCCGCUGCAUUAGCUAGUUGGUAAGGUAACGGCUUACCAAGGCAACGAUGCAUAGACGACCUGAGAGGGUGAUCGGCCACACUGGAACGGAGACACGGUCCAGACUCCUACGGGAGGCAGCAGUAGGGAAUCGUACGCAAUGGGCGAAAGCAUGACGGAGCAACGCCGCGUGAGUGAUGACGGUCUUCGGAUCGUAAAACUCUGUUAUUAGGGAAGAACAGAUGUGUAAGUAACUGUGCACAUCUUGACGGUAACUAAUCAGAAAGCAACGGCUAACUACGUG
rnacentral:rRNA from 1 species